AAGCGAAGGUCCCAGCAGGGAGGUAAGGACUCUAUAAUUGAGACCUCUCUAACAUCAAAUUUAACCCUUCGCAGAUGAAUAGCCGAACUAUUGGAUGCCAAAUCAUAAAUAUUUGGAUCAUCUUCGAACCCUUGGCAAAAUCUUA
rfam:Beta vulgaris subsp. vulgaris chromosome 1, whole genome shotgun sequence.